UAGGAGAGGUCGCAAGACGUAUCCGAUGGACAACAGGUUUAGAUUCCUGUACCGCAUAUAAACAGAACUGUGGGGACGCAUGUGGAAAGCAUAAGCCGGGAAUGGAAAGACCGGUACAAGCGAGGUAGGUGUGUGACAGGCAAAUCCGUCAUAUAAGCCGAAGACGUGAUGUGGAGCGAAAUUUAGUAGUGAAGUAUGUGAGCCAUGUGCCGAGAAAAGCCGCUAUUGUUUUAUAUGUGCCCGUACCGUAAACCGACACAGGUGGAUGAGGAGAAAAUCCUAAGGCCGACGGAAGAAGCAUUGUCAAGGAAUUCGGCAAAACGACCCCGUAACUUCGGGAGAAGGGGUGCCCACUGAAUGGUGGGCCGCAGAGAAUAGGCUCAAGCAACUGUUUAGCAAAAACACAGGUCUAUGCGAAACCGAAAGGUGAAGUAUAUGGGCUGACGCCUGCCCGGUGCUGGAAGGUUAAGAGGAGAGGUUAGCGUAAGCGAAGCUUUGAAUUUAAGCCCCAGUAAACGGCGGCCGUAACUAUAACGGUCCUAAGGUAGCGAAAUUCCUUGUCGGGUAAGUUCCGACCCGCACGAAAGGCGUAAUGAUUUGAGCACUGUCUCGACAAUGCAUCCGGUGAAAUUGAAGUACCAGUGAAGAUGCUGGUUACCCGCGCCAGGACGGAAAGACCCCAUGGAGCUUUACUCCAGUUUGAUACUGGGAUUCGGUACUGCACGUACAGGAUAGGUGGGAGACUGAGAACUAUGGACGCCAGUCUGUAGGGAGUCGCUGUUGGGAUACCACCCCUGUAGUACUGGGUUUCUAACCAUCUGCCGUGAUCCGGCAGUGGGACAAUGUCAGGCGGGGAGUUUGACUGGGGCGGUCGCCUCCGAAAGGGUAUCGGAGGCGCUCAAAGGUUCCCUCAGAAUGGUCGGAAACCAUUUGAAGAGUGCAAAGGCAGAAGGGAGCUUGACUGCGACACCGACGGGUGGAGCAGGUACGAAAGUAGGACUUAGUGAUCCGGUGGUAUAAAGUGGGAUUGCCAUCGCUCAACGGAUAAAAGCUACCCUGGGAUAACAGGCUUAUCACUCCCAAGAGUUCACAUCGACGGAGUGGUUUGGCACCUCGAUGUCGGCUCAUCGCAUCCUGGGGCUGUAGCAGGUCCCAAGGGUUGGGCUGUUCGCCCAUUAAAGCGGUACGCGAGCUGGGUUCAGAACGUCGUGAGACAGUUCGGUCCCUAUCCGGCGCGGGCGGAGGAUAUUUGAGAGGAGCUGUCCUUAGUACGAGAGGACCGGGAUGGACGGACCACUGGUGUAUCUGUUGUCGACCAACGGCAUGGCAGAGUAGCCAAGUCCGGAAGGGAUAAACGCUGAAGGCAUCUAAGCGUGAAGCCCCCCUCAAGAUGAGAUAUCCCUCCUUCGGGAGUAAGACCCCUUGAAGACUACAAGGUAGAUAGGGCAGAGGUGGAAGUGAGGCAACACAUGGAGCUGACUGUUACUAAUAGGUCGAGGGCUUGAUCAA
rnacentral:rRNA from 1 species